CGUUUUGAUCUGCCUCUACGGGGUUCAUGCACGUUCGCGUACUUGGUAGCUUCUUCCUCUGGCACACGAGUGUGUCAUAACCAAGCUGGCUCCACAUGACAACGACAUAUCGCUAGCGAACCCAGAGCUGAUUUGGAUUAAUCAAGUUAGCAAACCAAACAAAAAAAGAGCGUUUAUUUCUAAGUCGUAUAGGAAAUACCUCUCCUUUGCACUAAAACCACGACAAGUAUUUAGAAACGGAGGGAGUAGUUACUAGUAUUUCUCAAUCGACAAUCGUAGUCAUCCAAUGAAAAAUUUUUAUCCAUCGGACCUACAUUAAUCUAACACAAAUCUCAAUAAUUAAAUUAAAAAAUUGUUAUCAUCGAUUAAGAAAUAGUUAUUUAUCAGUCGCUUAAGAAAUAGCAAAACGGAAAAAAAACUGUGAAAAAGAGAGAAGAGGGGACAUAACGGAAUUGACUCUCUCGCCGGCUAAGAGUACGUACGUCUUGUAAAGUCAACUUCUAAGUAAACAAAAAACG
rnacentral:lncRNA from 1 species